CCAGGCAGGACACAGCAUGAACAUGAGGGGCCCCACUCAGCUCCUGGGGCUCUUGCUGCUCUGGCUCCUAGGUGUCAGUUGUGAUAUUCAGAUGACCCAGUCUCCAUCCUUCCUGUCUGCAUCUCUAGGAGACAGAAUCACCAUCACUUGCAGAGCGAGUCAGGGCAUUAGCAAUUGGUUAUCCUGGUAUCAGCAGAAACCAGGGAAUCCCCCUAAGCACCUGAUCUAUUAUGCUUCCAGUUUGCAGUCUGGGGUCCCAUCAAGGUUCAGUGGCAGUCGAUCUGGGACAGAUUACACUCUCACUGUCAGUAGCCUUCAGCCUGAAGAUCCUGCAAUUUAUUUCUGUCUACAGUAUGACAGUUAUCCUUCCCACAGUGUUACAAGUCAUAACAAAAACCACCCAGGGAAACAGAUGU